UACGUAGGGUGCAAGCGUUGUCCGGAAUUAUUGGGCGUAAAGAGCUCGUAGGCGGCUUGUCGCGUCGUCCGUGAAAACUUGGGGCUCAACCCCAAGCUUGCGGGCGAUACGGGCAGACUUGAGUACUGCAGGGGAGACUGGAAUUCCUGGUGUAGCGGUGAAAUGCGCAGAUAUCAGGAGGAACACCGAUGGCGAAGGCAGGUCUCUGGGCCACUACUGACGCUGAGAAGCGAAAGCGUGGGGAGCGAACAGG
rnacentral:rRNA from 1 species